AUUGAACGCUGGCGGCAGGCCUAACACAUGCAAGUCGAGCGGCAGCGGAAAGUAGCUUGCUACUUUGCCGGCGAGCGGCGGACGGGUGAGUAAUGUCUGGGAAACUGCCUGAUGGAGGGGGAUAACUACUGGAAACGGUAGCUAAUACCGCAUAACGUCGCAAGACCAAAGAGGGGGACGUUCGGGCCUCUUGCCAUCAGAUGUGCCAAGAUGGGAUUAGCUAGUAGGUGGGGUAACGGCUCACCUAGGCGACGAUCCCUAGCUGGUCUGAGAGGAUGACCAGCCACACUGGAACUGAGACACGGUCCAGACUCCUACGGGAGGCAGCAGUGGGGAAUAUUGCACAAUGGGAGCAAGCCUGAUGCAGCCAUGCCGCGUGUAUGAAGAAGGCCUUCGGGUUGUAAAGUACUUUCAGCGGGGAGGAAGGCGUUGUGGUUAAUAACCACAGCGAUUGACGUUACCCGCAGAAGAAGCACCGGCUAACUCCGUGCCAGCCGCCGCGGUAAGAC
rnacentral:rRNA from 1 species